AAUCUCCAUUGCUAACUAUAACGUUUUCCGCCAAGAUAGAAUUGCCAAAGGGGGUGGUGAUGCAAUCUACUGCAAAGAUAGCCUGCAGAGUUCUGUAUUACUAUCUAAGUCUGUACCCAAACAAUUUGAGCUUCUACUUCUAAAAAUUCACCUUUACAGAAACAAGUCACUGUUGCCGCUUGCUAUAGACUUCCCUCUGCCCCCAGCUGUGCCCUCGAUGCCAUAUGUGAAUUGAUUGCCCCCCAUCUAUCUUCUGAGCUCGUGCUACUAGGUGACCUAAACUGGGACAUGCUUAACACCCCGGCCAUCCUACAAACUAAGCUCGAUGCCCUCAAUCUCACACAAAUUAUCAAUGAACCUACCAGGUACAACCCCAAAUCAGUAAACACGGGCACCCUCAUAGAUGUCAUCCUAACUAAUUCGCCCUACAAAUACACCUCUGCUGUUUUCAAUCAAGAUCUCAGCGAUCACUGCCUCAUUGUCUGCAUCCAUAAUGGGUCUGCGACCAAACGACCACCCCUCAUCACUGUCAAACGCUCCCUGAAACACUUCUGCGAGCAGGCCUUUCUAAUCGACCUGGCCGGGGUAUCCUGGAAUGACAUUGACCUCAUCCCGUCAGUAGAUGAUGCCUGGCUAUUCUUUAAAAGUGCCUUCCUCACCAUCUUAAAUAAGCAUGCCCCUCUCAAAAAAUGUAGAACUAGGAAUAGAUAUAGUCCUUGGUUCACUCCAGACCUGUCUGCACUUGACCGGCACAAAAAAAUCCUGUGGCGUUCUGCAUUAGCAUCGAAUAGCCCCCGUGAUAUGCAACUUUUCAGGGAAGUUAGGAACAAAUAUACACAGGCAGUUAGAAAAGGUAAGGCAAACUUUUUCAAACAGAAAUUUGCAUCCUGUAGUACUAACUCAAAAAAGUUCUGGGACACUGUAAAGUCCAUGGAGAAUAAGAGCACCUCCUCCCAGCUGCCCACUGCUCUGAGGCUAGGAAACACUGUCACCACCGAUAAAUCUACUAUAAUUGAGAAUUUCAAUAAGCAUUUCUCUACGGCUGGCCAUGCUUUCUACAUGGCUACCCCUGCCUCGGUCAACUGCCCGGCACCCUCCACAGCAACCCGCCAAAAACC
rnacentral:lncRNA from 13 species